rnacentral:rRNA from 1 species
UAGGGAAUAUUGGUAAUCUGGGAAACCGGGAACCAGCAACGCCGCGUGCGCGAUGAAGGCCUUCGGGUCGUAAAGCCCUGUCAGGUGGGAAGAAUGUCCCGGGACUGAACAGGUUCCGGGAGUGACGGUACCACCAGAGGAAGCACCGGCUAACUCCGUGCCAGCAGCCGCGGUAAUACGGAGGGUGCAAGCGUUAUUCGGAAUUACUGGGCGUAAAGCGCGUGUAGGCGGUCCUGCAAGUCUGAUGUGAAAGCCCCGGGCUUAACCCGGGAAGUGCAUUGGAAACUGUGGGACUUGAGUGCUGGAGAGGAUGGGGGAAUUCCCGGUGUAGAGGUGAAAUUCGUAGAGAUCGGGAGGAAUAUCAGUGGCGAAGGCGCCCAUCUGGACCAUUCCUGACACUCAGACGCGAAAGCUAGGGUAGCAAACG